rnacentral:rRNA from 1 species
GAUGAACGCUGGCGGCGUGCUUAACACAUGCAAGUCGAACGGAAAGGCCCAAGCCUGCUUGGGUACUCGAGUGGCGAACGGGUGAGUAACACGUGGGUGAUCUGCCCUGCACUUCGGGAUAAGCCUGGGAAACUGGGUCUAAUACCGGAUAGGACCACAUUUUGGAUGGUGUGGUGGAAAGUUUUUCGGUGUGGGAUGAGCUCGCGGCCUAUCAGCUUGUUGGUGGGGUAAUGGCCUACCAAGGCGUCGACGGGUAGCCGGCCUGAGAGGGUGUACGGCCACAUUGGGACUGAGAUACGGCCCAGACUCCUACGGGAGGCAGCAGUGGGGAAUAUUGCACAAUGGGCGCAAGCCUGAUGCAGCGACGCCGCGUGGGGGAUGACGGCCUUCGGGUUGUAAACUCCUUUCGCUAGGGACGAAGCGCAAGUGACGGUACCUGGAGAAGAAGCACCGGCUAACUACGUG